GCUGAGGUGUCCGAGUGGUUAAGGAGUUGGACUUGAAAUCCAAUGGGUUCUGCCCGCGCAGGUUUCGAAUCCUGUCCUCAGCG